rnacentral:rRNA from 1 species
AGAGUUUGAUCCUGGCUCAGGACGAACGCUGGCGGCGUGCUUAACACAUGCAAGUCGAACGAUGAAGCCCUUCGGGGUGGAUUAGUGGCGAACGGGUGAGUAACACGUGGGCAAUCUGCCCUUCACUCUGGGACAAGCCCUGGAAACGGGGUCUAAUACCGGAUAACACUCCUGCCUGCAUGGGUGGGGGUUAAAAGCUCCGGCGGUGAAGGAUGAGCCCGCGGCCUAUCAGCUUGUUGGUGAGGUAGUGGCUCACCAAGGCGACGACGGGUAGCCGGCCUGAGAGGGCGACCGGCCACACUGGGACUGAGACACGGCCCAGACUCCUACGGGAGGCAGCAGUGGGGAAUAUUGCACAAUGGGCGAAAGCCUGAUGCAGCGACGCCGCGUGGGGGAUGACGGCCUUCGGGUUGUAAACCUCUUUCAGCAGGGAAGAAGCGAAAGUGACGGUACCUGCAGAAGAAGCGCCGGCUAACUACGUGCCAGCAGCCGCGGUAAUACGUAGGGCGCAAGCGUUGUCCGGAAUUAUUGGGCGUAAAGAGCUCGUAGGCGGCUUGUCACGUCGGUUGUGAAAGCCCGGGGCUUAACCCCGGGUCUGCAGUCGAUACGGGCAGGCUAGAGUGUGGUAGGGGAGAUCGGAAUUCCUGGUGUAGCGGUGAAAUGCGCAGAUACCAGGAGGAACACCGGUGGCGAAGGCGGAUCUCUGGGCCAUUACUGACGCUGAGGAGCGAAAGCGUGGGGAGCGAACAGGAUUAGAUACCCUGGUAGUCCACGCCGUAAACGGUGGGAACUAGGCGUUGGCGACAUUCCACGUCGUCGGUGCCGCAGCUAACGCAUUAAGUUCCCCGCCUGGGGAGUACGGCCGCAAGGCUAAAACUCAAACGAAUUGACGG